GACGAACGCUGGCGGCGUGCUUAACACAUGCAAGUCGAACGGAAAGGCCCUGCUUUUGUGGGGUGCUCGAGUGGCGAACGGGUGAGUAACACGUGAGUAACCUGCCCUUGACUUUGGGAUAACUUCAGGAAACUGGGGCUAAUACCGGAUAGGAGCUCCUGCUGCAUGGUGGGGGUUGGAAAGCUUCGGCGGUUGGGGCUGGACUCGCGGCUUAUCAGCUUGUUGGGGGGGUGGUGGCUUACCAAGGCUUUGACGGGUAGCCUGCCUGAGAGGGUGGCCGGGCACAUUGGGCCUGCGAUACGGCCCAGACUCCUACGGGAGGCAGCAGUGGGGAAUCUUGCACAAUGGGCGGACGCCUGAUGCAGCAACGCCGCGUGCGGGAUGACCGCUUUCGGGUUGUAAACCGCUUUCGCCUGUGACGAAGCGUGAGUGACGGUAAUGGGUAAAGAAGCACCGGCUAACUACGUG
rnacentral:rRNA from 1 species